ACGUAGGGUGCAAGCGUUGUCCGGAAUUAUUGGGCGUAAAGAGCUCGUAGGCGGUUCGUCGCGUCGGCUGUGAAAACCUGAGGCUCAACCUCAGGCCUGCAGUCGAUACGGGCGGACUUGAGUACUGCAGGGGAGACUGGAAUUCCUGGUGUAGCGGUGAAAUGCGCAGAUAUCAGGAGGAACACCGGUGGCGAAGGCGGGUCUCUGGGCAGUAACUGACGCUGAGGAGCGAAAGCGUGGGGAGCGAACAGGAUUAGAUACCCUGGUAGUCCACGCCGUAAACGUUGGGCGCUAGGUGUGGGGGCCAUUCCACGGUCUCCGUGCCGCAGCUAACGCAUUAAGCGCCCCGCCUGGGGAGUACGGCCGCAAGGCUA
rnacentral:rRNA from 1 species